UUCCAAGACAAAAAAGCCUGAUGUGUCAAUAUUGCUGAAGUCUCGAGACCGACACGUACCAUUUGACUUCUGCAGAGGACAAGAAACGCCUACUCGUAUAUCCUAAUAUUUCGGCCAACUUUUUCCAAAUUUUUCUUCCAAUAACAUUCAAAAGAUCUAAGGUUAAUUAAUGACUUUUCUAGUUAAAAUAAGUACUCACCCGUUAUGAACAUUCUUUGGGGAAUAAAUAUAUCCUUCAUCCUUUUUAAGUAUGCUUGUGCUCUCAUACACAUAGAGUAUCCUAGCCUAUAUAUAUUGCAGCAAGAAUUGAAUUUUGAAUUGUGGGUAAUGUCAAUAAAUACUUGUGCAAAGGAUGCAAGGCUCGAUCUGAUUAUUUGUCAGCUAUUAUUCAGUUACACAGUAUACCUUAGAAUUUUGUAAAAAAAAGAUUUCCCCAUAUGUUUCGUCAGCUCUACAGAUGUAGAGUUAAAUAAGGCUUCAUCAAUUUUAGGACAUGCUAACAAUGUAUCAAGAGACCUCAUGUUCACAGAGAAACCGAAGAAUGGCAUUCUUUUCUUGCUUUCAUUAAAAAAAGUAUUGUUUAUUAUCCCAUUACUAUUUUCAAAGUUUAUUACUGUUUUCUCCAGGCUCGUAGAAAAAUUGUGUUUCUCAAAUCCUUCAACGGUUAGAACUUAGGAAUGACAGCAACUCACCUCUUAAAGAUAAAUUCAAAAAUUUUUUUGCAUCCUUUUUAUUAACUGUUAUAAAGAGGAAAUCGUCGACUACUCGUAACAACACUGAUCCUUUCUUUUUCGUAAACGAUAGGUAUUCAUCAAUCAAAUCUUCCAUAUAGAAAUGACACAAAAAAGAUGACAGAAUUGAGCCCUGAGGGAUACCAACUUUUUGAAGGUAUUGAGAAUUUCCUAUCUAGUUUCAUUAGUGUUAUUACAAUUCAACAAUUGGUAUACCUUAACAAUGUGUCCAGAGAGAUGUUCCUUGAGCAUUUUAAAAAUUUCAGAAGAACUUUUGGUCCAAUAAUCCACAAAAUCAACAAACAAAGUAUCUGAUGUUUUCAUAGAAAGUAACUGCACGACUUUUUCAAAAGGCACCAUAUCAACUAAAAAAGAAUUUGUU